rnacentral:rRNA from 1 species
GACGAACGCUGGCGGCGUGCUUAACACAUGCGAGUCGAACGGAAAGGCCCUGCUUUUGUGGGGUGCUCGAGUGGCGAACGGGUGAGUAACACGUGAGUAACCUGCCCUUGACUUUGGGAUAACUUCAGGAAACUGGGGCUAAUACCGGAUAGGAGCUCCUGCUGCAUGGUGGGGGUUGGAAAGUUUCGGCGGUUGGGGAUGGACUCGCGGCUUAUCAGCUUGUUGGUGGGGUAGUGGCUUACCAAGGCUUUGACGGGUAGCCGGCCUGAGAGGGUGACCGGCCACAUUGGGACUGAGAUACGGCCCAGACUCCUACGGGAGGCAGCAGUGGGGAAUAUUGCACAAUGGGCGGAAGCCUGAUGCAGCAACGCCGCGUGCGGGAUGACGGCCUUCGGGUUGUAACCGCUUUCGCCUGUGACGAAGCGUGAGUGACGGUAAUGGGUAAAGAAGCACCGGCUAACUACGUG